rnacentral:snoRNA from 1 species
AAGCAUGGUGGGGGCAAAGGGCUUGCAAUUCCUUAUAUCUUUCCCAUGCUUGGCAUAAAGUUCCAUUAUCCUUUUGGGCAAACAAAGAAAUUUACUUCUUCAGGGC